GGUAAUUUAGAUUUGUUACAUUUUGCAGGAUAUGUGUCGCCAUUUAAUUGAGUACAUGCACGGAGGGCGAACACUGCAGGGCUCUAAUAAUUUUAUUUGAUCUUUAAUUCAUGGACAAUUGACACUUCAUACAUUUAUACCUUUGAUCAGACAGUUUUUGGAAACCAGCAGUUAGUUUCUAUGGUCAUUCCUGCUUUACUCCCUGCACAGUGCAAUGACAUCACCAGUUUGACAAAGAUCAGUAUCGGAGCGGUCAGAAAAAGAUGUGUGGGGAAAUAAUUGCUAGGAUUUGCUCCUUAUGCUUUUCAGGCAUCGCAACUGAGUUUACUAAGACCAUAGAGACUAUCUGUCCACUACAAACAUUGUCCGACUGAAGGUGCAUGUGUAUGGCUGAGUGAACCUGCCAUAUACUAAAUGUAUGGAUGAGGUUUUUCUAAUUUUUACAUAUACUAAAUGAAAAAAUAAAUCUGUUUUCUUUCACGAUUUGAUGAAAAGAUUAUUAUAUUAAAAAUAAUUGAGGUUUUAAUUUAGGAGCAUCCCGGGGUAACAAAAGAUUUGUCAUGGUUAUGACGGUAAUGUUUAAUUUGUCCUUUUUUGAGCAGUAUUUUUUUAAAGUUGUCUUUAACUAAAACUUGAUUUUGGUAAGCUAAAAUGUGUUAAUCAUGACAUCCCGUCAUGUGUGUAAUGUCACGUGUUUUGUUGCUCAUGUGGUUUUACAGCAGAUGAGAUGUAUAUCUACCAAAAAUGUGGUAUAGAAAUCUAACAUCUAAUUUUAUUUUUUUUCCUAUAGACCUUUGUGGCUAUGAACAGUCCUCAUUUUUAGGAUGGAACAUAAAUCUACUUUAAACUAAUGGGUCUAUACUUUUUAUAUGGUUAUCUGGCAGCUAAGUACAUAGUAGUCUGAAAUUUGUACAUAAGCAUGAUUAUAAUCUAUUUUACCUACUUUGUAGAUUUCCAGCCAGGAUGUGGUUGUAGUUUAUGGGUAAAGUUCUAACAAGCUGGUCAAUGGAGAAAGCUUUCACUCUUUGAAAUGAGUAUUGUUCUUGAAUGACGCUGUGUGGUCCAUGUUAUAUGUAGUAUUGUCUUCUACAAAGGAUGCUAGGAAAUUCACAGAGCCUCCACAUACAGUAAUUGUAUCUUAUAUUGUAAAAUAUCUUUAUAUGAAGCUAGUGUAAAACCUGAAACACUACAAUGAAUAACAGUUUCCAAAUGGAGAAUGUAAAUUAUUUACAAAAUUAUGCAUAUUGAUACAACAAAUUAUUCUGUUAUGAAAAUUAUAUUUUCUUUCUCUUCAGGUAUAGUUACCUUAACCCAUAUUCAUUAUGGUGUUGUUCUACAAGUCAUUGAUUGUAAAUGGCUGUCACAUACUCAAGAAAAGCUCGCAUGUGCUUCUGAACGGUUUGUUUAAAUGUGUUCUCUCCAUGUUACACACUAUGGAAACCAAUCAAAUAGCUAAAUAACCUAAAAUGCAGUUCUAUUGUGUGUCCUAUAUACAAUAAGGUUUCACACUUGCAACAUAUCUCCCAGCAUGCUGUGCAGCUAGUUUGGAGCAUGGUAGACUAAAUGUUUGUCAUUUUGUAGCACACGAGUAACUGUCUGAGUGACUUAAAUGGUCACAAUAAUUCUGGAAUUCUGUUACCUGUGUGUAGUUGAAGGACUGAGUGAAUGUAUCAUUUUAAAAUUUAAAAUCUGUUGUGUUAAACAGACCGAUGGUGACACUUUAUGGAAAUAAAGAAGUGUUGCAAUGCUUGAAUAACUACAUGUGUGGCUGCAGUGAAUAUCCUUUAUAAUGUUCAGUUACACAUAGAUGCUGUACCUUUAAUUAUAAAAUGUAAAGUAUUGUUUUAAAAAUUUGUUGAAAAAUAUACACCUCUAAUUGCGGUUAGACUGACAUCCACUAAAGGCACUUCUUAAUUAAGACAUUGGAAAAUCAAAUCAAAGGUCUUCACAUAAUGUUGUACAGCAUUUUUCUUUCCCCAAGUCUAGUAAAGAUGAUGAUCAUGUUACAUCCCUUUUUAUGUGAAUCAUUGCAUAGGCAAUUGAGACAUUUUAAAUUAUAUUUUGACUGUUCUAUGGCAGGACAAAUGGCUACACAAAAACUUUCCCUCCUCCCAUUUCCGUUCACAGACUGCUGCAGUCCAUUAAUACAUCUAUUGGUCUCUCUUCCCUGUAUCUCAGCAUGCACGAAUAUAGCCACCGCCUGAUACUUUGUGAUUCCAACUAUUAUUAUGCCUUCAAUGGGUGUCCCACAUAUGUCAUGAAUGUAUUUACUUAAUACUUAUCUCCUAACUUUAGUCUGUGACUUCUGUAUGUCAAGUCUGCACCCUACAGCAAACUAACCUAAAAUCCUGGCUUGACCAUACCCGUACAUAGGAAAUGUUACAGCCUCUAUAGCGGUGAGGACAUGCGUCUCUCAAUUUAAUUUUUCUGGGACAGCCUUAUUAACGAAAAUGCUCUGUAUGUGUGUAAUGAUUAUUCACUGUCUGACAAUCUGCAUUUGAUAAACACAUUUAAAAAAAAAAAGUUGGCUUGAAUUACACUUCAUUGCCUAUUCAGUUUUGCAUUGGUUACAUACAGUAACGAGCUGUCAGUUUAGUUAAUGUGUUUCUGCUAGAGAGAACCUGUAUAGUAGGCCACACUGCUAUACCAUGAAGACUUUCCCAUAUGUUUUGUACUUUAACUAAAACAUUUGUUUUCUUUGUAAGUGGAUAGACUUGUGUAACAAAACAAAUCAAUUGCUAUGUAUUCUAAAGAAAGCAGUGGAUUCAAUUAUUCACUUCCAUGUAAUGGAACAAACAUGUUCAUGUUUGCAGUAAUUUGUUUUUGUAACCUUUAUAUAUAAACCUGUUACACAUACUCUGUUCUUAAAUUAAAGGGACUUUGGAUUUGGCAGUAGGGCUCAGAUAGAAUGAUGUUUUCUCCUGGUGGUAGAAUGGCAUUAUACUCCCGAUUGCUGCUGCCUAAUUGUAGGACACACAUACCAUGUUAAAGACAGGGCUACACCUCUUCAUUUGGUCCACCCAUUUUUGGGUGGCAGUGUGCUCUUCCAAAGGGAACUUUGUUUCUUUGUAUGGUCUACAGGUGCCUUAAGUAGCAGCUCCACCUAUGACGUGUGUAUAUUGACAUUGUAUUAAACACAUAUUGCAUUUUUUUUUUUUCUUACAAAAGUGGGCCACUUUAUGCCAAAAUAUUACUUUAUUUCUGCUUGUUUGCACUGUGAUCUGUAGAUGAUGACUUUAUAAAUAAGUUACAGCUUUUUGGCAAUUUAAAUUUUUUUUUUUUUUAAUUUUGUAAAAUUAUGAUGAACUCUAAUUUGCACUUAUCUUUUUAAUUAGUACUAAUGGUCAAAAAGUUGUAGUAAAUGCAAUUACUCUGCAAUUUUGUGUUGUGAUAACAGAUUAGAUAUUAUAAUUUUGCAUUAUGCCGCAGAUGUUUUAUUUUUGUAAUAUUUUUUUAUUAUUAAAUCUAGGGAAAUAAAACUUUACUAUGCAGUUGUUUCCAAACAAGUCCAGUAUUUUCUUUGUUAUAGCAAAGUAGUAUUAAAUUAUACGAUCUGUAAUAUAUAGUAUAUCGUGUGUGUAUUUUGUAAUUAGUAUCUAUCCUUUUUAGUGCAUCUCCUGCCUUAUACUUGCUCUGUAGGGGCAUCCAUCAUCGGCACCAGCAUUUAUGAGCGGAAAAGUGCAUGAACACGUGUUAGCUCUUGAUUGUCUGGUUUUUAAUUGGGCAGGCUGUACUUCUGGCCAAAAUUGGGCCUUAUUGACCCCCUUCCCCCCCCCCCAAAGCAAGGCUAAGCCAGGACAUGCAUUGAAAACCGCUCUUUACUUCUAUGCAUGCAUCACAAAAUAAUACAUGCUAAGGCUGGAAUACAUGUAAUCUUUUAUUCAAAAAUUUUGUCUUUGAUGUUACUUCUCAGAGGGUUCUGGGCUGCAGAUCCACACUUUGAGCUCUGCAUAAUUUACAAGGAUACUGUUUGCCGCUUUGUUUACUGCGGUUAUGAAUAAUAAAUAGCUGGUAGUUAUUCAGCUGCUGUUGAUCUACAUCAGGGGUGGGGAACCUUUGGCCCUCCAGAUGUUUGGACUACAUCUCCCUUGAUGUUUUGCCAGCAUUAUGGCUGUAAGAGCAUUAUGGGAGAUGUAGUCCAAAACAUCUUGAGGGCCGAAGGUUCCCCAUCCCUGAUCUACAUGAUCCAUGGAUUGUCCAAGGUUAGUUGGAAAAUUCAUUUUCUUUUAACAGACUGUGUUCUGCAUUUUGCUAGUGAUGUCUGCCAGUACUGAUCUUCCUAUCUGUUUUAAUUGGACAGUUUGUAGUUGCCUAUAAAAGCUGGCUGUGUAACCAUUGGCUUGAGAUUCAUACAGCAGCCAUUAUUAGAGCAGAUAUUGCUUUAAGGAUCUGCUCACACUGAUUUGCUGGCUGCUUCUUAUUCUUGGUGAGAAAAUAUAACACAAAACUCCCUAGGGAGAGAAUGUAAGCCAUGAAGGGCUUCCAUUCAAUAAAGUAAAGUAACUGCUUCUGAUUAUUUUUUCAUUUAUGAAAAACAGUCUGCAUUUCUUUGUGUCCACGUGUACAAUACACAAUAUUUUUCCUAGAAACCAUAUGAGUUCCCAGAAUUAGUUGUCAUUUUUUGGCUUGUCUUUAUUUCUUUAUUUAAUGAAAGAAUGAGACGAGGGUAGAGUGUUGUUUGUUAAGAUUGUUUUGCGUAUCAGCUGUUUUCUCCCAGUUUAACAUAAAAAUAAUAAUCUAAGAUUGUUUAGAUUAUCGUGUCUUUUGUCUGCAUUUUCAUUUCUGUACAAGUGUUCGCCAAACUUAUCCUUAGGUCCCACAAACGGGCCAGAAUUUAUUAUAUCCAUAGUUUUAACACAGAUGAACUAGGUUAGGGCUGUCACCUUGGGACAAGUGACAAUAUUCCUAUAUUCUUGUCCUGUGGACAGAUUUAAAGAGCACUACACUAAGCUGCCUACAACCAGUAUCUACACCAUAAGCUCUGCAUAAAAGUGCAUACACUUGCUGUAGACCCCAAGGGAAUAUAGACCAGUGUAUUUAUCACAAUGUUGUACGUAAACUAUUUGUUGUUUGCCCGAAUGGAAUAGGAGAGAACAGUCAAAAACACUGGAUUGCUUGAAAACUGCCACUGUUGUGAACAGAACACACAGCACUGUUAUAAAAGUUAUUUAAAUUUGUAUAUAAGAUUAUAGAUGACAAAGUAACACUUUCCGUAUCAUGUCUUAAGGUUUAAUGACUGCUGUAAUACAGUAUUGUGCAAAGAAGAGAAAUAGCUACAAAUAUCAAUGGAUAUAAGUUCUGAUUUGUUUGCUUUUUUUUUCCCCCCUACACUAAUUCAGUGCCAGAGUUAUGUUUUUUCUAACUGCCUGUUUUGCAAUGCAUUACACAGGGAUGGGCUGGUAUCCAUACGCCUAUGUGUCAAUGCUCGGUGUGCAAAUGGUGAAAUAAUAGUGAUCUCCGUCACUUUACCUGACAUUAGUCUGCACUGAUCCCUCACAAUAUUACCCCUGUAUUUCUUCAAAAACCCACAGCUGGAAAGUUUAUCUAUUGAACUGACUGUCUUAUGGCCAUGUGUAGUGCCGCAGGUAUCUGCCCAUUAGUUAAGCCAUCAACUGGCAUUUACCUCCCCCCCCCCCAUCCAGCCCUCUCCUGUUCAGCUCUCUGACACCGGAUGACUUAUUGAUAUUAACGGAACACUAUAGUGUUAUGAAUACAAAAUAUAAAAUACAACCCUCUCACACAUAAAAACUUUUUUCACUUAUUUGAUUCCAGCCCCGAGGUCCCUCAGUGCUGGAUCUGUCUUCUACUCCGUCAGCGAUGGGGGGGACCUAAUGUACAAGUGCUGCACGCUUUAGGCCUUUUCCAUAGGAAAGUAUGGACUCCAUGCUUUCCUAUGGGGAUUUUCAUGAUGCUGGUCUUCCUCAUGCAUAGCAGAGUUAAACUCCAUGAAAGUGUCCUUUUAAGCAUUACUAUUUGUUUGUAAAUAGAUAUGUUGGAUUUUAUUUUUGUUAAAACACUACAUAGACUCCUAUUUCACAAUGUUUACUGUAUUUUCAAUUUUUUUUCACCGCAUUUCAUGUUGUAUUUUCAUAUGCAUUUCAUGUUAUGUAAUAUUCAAUAAAAUAAAUGUCCUGUUUUUUUUAACUUUAUGUGCAAUAUUUGAG
rnacentral:lncRNA from 1 species